rnacentral:rRNA from 1 species
GUGGACUGCGAUAAGUUCAUUACAGGAACGUCGACACGAGUUGUUGCUGGCCCCUCGAAGGGGGGCACGUGCACGCUCUGUUUACACAUCCACCCACACCUGUGCACCCUCUGUAGUUCUGUGGCGUGAGAGACCCUGUCUCUCUGCCGUGGUUCUGCGUCUUUAUACACACCCUGUAGUGAAGUCUUAUGGAAUGUGUGCCGCGUUUAACGCAAUAAAUACAACUUUCAGCAACGGAUCUCUUGGCUCUCGCAUCGAUGAAGAACGCAGCGAAAUGCGAUACGUAAUGUGAAUUGCAGAAUUCAGUGAAUCAUCGAAUCUUUGAACGCACCUUGCGCCCCUUGGCAUUCCAAGGGGCACACCCGUUUGAGUGUCGUGAAAUUCUCAAAACCCCUUCCUUUGCCGGAAUGGAUUUUGGACUUGGAGGCCUUUUGCUGGUUUCACCUCGAAGCCAGCUCCUCCUAAAUGGAUUAGUGGGGUCUGCUUUGCCGAUCCUUGACGUGAUAAGAUGCUUUUACGUCUCGGGUUAUUGGCACUGUGCCUCUGCUUCUAACCGUCUCUUUUGACAACGAUGGUGUUCCGGUCACCGCCGAUUCUUCGGUGGGAGGCUUGACCCACAAAACGACCUCGACCUCAAAUCGGGUGAGACUACCCGCUGAACUUAAGCAUAUCAU